rnacentral:rRNA from 1 species
GAUGAACGCUGGCGGCGUGCCUAAUACAUGCAAGUCGAGCGAACAGACGAGGAGCUUGCUCCUCUGACGUUAGCGGCGGACGGGUGAGUCACACGUGGAUAACCUACCUAUAAGACUGGGAUAACUUCGGGAAACCGGAGCUAAUACCGGAUAAUAUAUUGAACCGCAUGGUUCUAUAGUGAAAGACGGUUUUGCUGUCACUUAUAGAUGGUUCCGCGCCGCAUUAGCUAGUUGGUAAGGUAACGGCUUACCAAGGCAACGAUGCGUAGCCGACCUGAGAGGGUGAUCGGCCACACUGGAACUGAGACACGGUCCAGACUCCUACGGGAGGCAGCAGUAGGGAAUCUUCCGCAAUGGGCGAAAGCCUGACGGAGCAACGCCGCGUGAGUGAUGAAGGUCUUCGGAUCGUAAAACUCUGUUAGUAGGGAAGAACAAAUGUGUAAGUAACUAUGCACGUCUUGACGGUACCUAAUCAGAAAGCCACGGCUAACUACGUG